AUUCCGUUAACGAGCGAGACCUGGGCGUGCUAACUAGGGGCUAUUAUCAUUUUGGUAGUACGUUCUCCUUCUUAGACGGACUGUGGGCGUCUAGCCCACGGAAGCUCCAGGCAAUAACAGGUCUGAGAUGCCCUUAGAUGUUCUGGGCCGCACGCGUGCUACACUGAGUGGAUCAGUGGGUCAGGUUACGCGAGAGCGUUUCCUAAUCUUCAAAUCCGCUCGUGAUGGGGAUUGACGGUUGCAAUUUUCCGUCAUGAACGAGGAAUACCUUGUAAGCGCGGGUCAUCAUCCCGCGCUGAAUACGUCCCUGCCCUUUGUACACACCGCCCGUCGCUCCUACCGAUUGAGUGGUCCGGUGAGGCUUUGGGAUCUAAGUAGAAAGAGCGUUUCGCUUUUUUUGCUGGGAGAACUCAGUCGAACCUUAUCAUUUAGAGGAA
rnacentral:rRNA from 2 species